GAAGCAUAAAUAAAUGGAAAAAUGGGGGAAACAGGGCUGUAACACACGUGACGACGGGUUGGGUCGUCACAAAGAAUAAUCUUGAUCCUAAUUAAAGUUGACAAGUGAAGAAGCAUCUCAAAGAAAGUAAGUUACUUAUUUGAGUAAGUUUUGGAUUUAAAUAUAUUUUAUUUACUGAGAUACCAGGAAAGAGUUUAUUGAAGUUCAACGAAGAAACUCACAGAAAUAAUUCAAAGAAUAUCAUGUCGUUCUUGCAAGACAUAUUGGGGGUUCAACUAUAAUGGGACGUCAUUGACUACAAGGUUCAAAAUGUCAUAUAGAUUAAUCUACCUUUUCCACAAUGUCUGUACAACUACAUUUAAGAAUCAUGGAAGACGGAAAAAUGCUUGUCUCUUUCACCAUGAGUAGUUCAUCAAAAUUUGAAUCUUUCAUCCUUGUUUCAAUGGAUGAAGACAUAAUACUAGAUUUUAACCUGAACCUUUCGGUUCUUAUCAACACAGUAUUUUAGUCAUAUACUAUUACAGGUUUGAUGUUGAUUUCCAAGAUGCCUCCGGCUCAGAAUUCAUCGGGAGACCAAGGCAAAACAGAACAACUUUGAAGUUCAAGAUUGUUAUUAUUCCUUUUAAAUUUCAAGAAUCUGUUUGUUUGAUGUGUUUCAUGAUUGAUGUCAGAGAAUGCUGCAGUUGAUGCUCAACAAAAAGGAGAAGCUGCUGGAAUGCAGAUGGUGUUAAAGAAAAAAACAACAUAAUCACUGAUGGUGAAAGUAAAGAUUAUUAUGAGAAACCUGCAGCUUUACCUACUUAUGACCCUUCAACAGCUAAAGAACCUCACCUUGAGAACUAUGAAGAUGGCAAAAGAGAUGAAAUAAGAGAGACGCAGCUUAAGCAUCCUUUUCAAUGUACAAGAUUUCAAACAGCUGCAAAUGAUUUAGUGAGUCAACUCACUGAUAUUGAAACGCAUAAUUUUGAUCAACCUAUGGACUCAGUUUUGGAGGGGAAGGAUGAUCUUCAUGACCAACCAUAUAACCAGGAAGGUGAGGCAGAAGAAAGUUUACCUCAUGAUGAAGUUUUAAAGACCGAUGCAGGUGAAUCCUCAAGUGUUGCCGGUGAGACAGUAGAAUAAUGCAUCAUAUCAUCAUCACUUGAAGAACAAGAAACUACAAGGAAUGGAAGAUCAGGCCAGAAUGAAGAUAACCGACAUUGGUUAAGGCAGCAAAGAAAGAACUCUUUUGAUGCACCAAAGAAUAAAUAUGAGUUACCAACUGAACAAGGUAAAGCAAGUCCCUACUGCAGCUCACCCUUGAAUUUUUGGCUUGUAUAUAUUGCUGUGAUAUAACAUAAGGUUCUAAUCCUUUUGUUCAGUACUAUUGCAAAAGAAUGUUUAUAACAACAAAGGUCUGUGGAAUAAUCGACUUUCAAGAAGGAUACAAAUGUGAAGCAACAACUGUUCACGAGCUGCUGGUACUGCGACCUCCCCUGCAACCUUAUAUAGCAACCACGUGUUGUGUACAUGUCUGUAGCUACUUUACUCAUCUUUAGUGCUGAUUGAAAAUCAUCAAAAGCUAUUCGAGAAAAAGAAUCACAAAGUAUCAAGAUUGUUACUGCAAAUCCUAGGAAGCCCGACAAUGUGACAUAACUUCAGGCAACAUGGUGGUGAAUCUUUCGUCAAACGAUGGAUGGACAACCCUAAGUUGUUGUUCGUCAUCCAGUUUCUCCUCCAUCACCAUCUGUUAGUUCAGCUGUUCCAGCAACAGAUAAAAAAGAGACAAUUUUUUGUUAGACUUGAUAAUUUAGCUACCCUUAAUGUUAUAAGGAGUGUUUUGUAAUGACUAUUAAAUUUUUUGUUAUGAUAAUAUCUGAAUCCCUUAUUACCAAAAAAUAGUAUGAAGCAGCGACGCUUCCUUUC